CGGUAACACGUAGGGACCAAGCGUUGUCCGGAUUUAUUGGGCGUAAAGAGCUCGUAGGCGGUUUCGUAAGUCGGAUGUGAAAACUCAGGGCUCAACCCUGAGACGCCAUCUGAUACUGCGAUGACUAGAGUCCGGUAGGGGAGCAUGGAAUUCCUGGUGUAGCGGUGGAAUGCGCAGAUAUCAGGAGGAACACCAAUGGCGAAGGCAGUGCUCUGGGCCGGUACUGACGCUGAGGAGCGAAAGCAUGGGGAGCAAACAGGAUUAGAUACCCUGGUAGUCCAUGCCGUAAACGUUGGGCACUAGGUGUGGGGUCUUCUAACGGAUUCCGUGCCGUAGCUAACGCAUUAAGUGCCCCGCCUGGGGAGUACGGCCGCAAGGCUAAAACUCGAAGGAAUUGACGGGGGCCCGCACAAGCGGCGGAGCAUGUUGCUUAAUUCGAGGCAACGCGAAGAACCUUACCUGGGUUUGACAUGUAUCGAAAAGCCAUAGAGAUAUGGUGUCCUUCGGGGCGAUACACAGGUGGUGCAUGGCUGUCGUCAGCUCGUGUCGUGAGAUGUUGGGUUAAGUCCCGCAACGAGCGCAACCCUCGUCCUAUGUUGCCAGCACGUAAUGGUGGGGACUCGUAGGAGACUGCCGGGGUCAACUCGGAGGAAGGUGGGGAUGACGUCAAGUCAUCAUGCCCCUUAUAUCCAGGGCUGCAAACAUGCUACAAUGGCCGAUACAGAGGGCUGCGAGACCGCGAGGUCAAGCGAAUCCCAUAAAGUCGGUCUCAGUUCGGAUUGGAGUCUGCAACUCGACUCCAUGAAGCUGGAGUCGCUAGUAAUCCCGGAUCAGCAACGCCGGGGUGAAUACGUUCCCGGG
rnacentral:rRNA from 1 species